rnacentral:rRNA from 1 species
AACGAACGCUGGCGGCAGGUCUUAGGCAUGCAAGUCGAACGGGUGUAGUAAUACACCAGUGGCGAACGAGUGAGUAACGCGUGGGAAUCUGCCCAUCUCUGGGGAAUAACGUUUGGAAACGAACGCUAAUACCGCAUACGCCCGCAAGGGGAAAGAUUUAUCGGAGAUGGGUGAGCCCGCGUUGGAUUAGUUAGUUGGUGGGGUAACGGCCUACCAAGGCGAUGAUCCAUAGCUGGUCUGAGAGGAUGAUCCGCCACACUGGGACUGAGACACGGCCCAGACUCCUACGGGAGGCAGCAGUGGGGAAUAUUGGACAAUGGGCGGAAGCCUGAUCUAGCCAUGCCGCGUGUGUGAAGAAGGCCUUAUGGUUGUAAAGCACUUUAAGCGAGGAGGAGGCUACUUUAGUUAAUACCUAGAGAUAGUGGACGUUACUCGCAGAAUAAGCACCGGCUAACUCUGUGCCAGCCGCCGCCGUAA